rnacentral:lncRNA from 1 species
AUUUUCCUGCCUCAGCCUCCUGAGUAGCUGGAACUACAGGCGCCGCGCCACCACUCCCGGCUAAUUUUUUUAUUUUAUUUUAUUUUUUAUUUUUAGUAGAGACGGGGUUUCACCGUAGCCAGAAUGGUCUUGAUCUCCUGACCUCGUCAUCCGCCCGCCUCGGCCUCCCAAAGUGCUGGGCUUACAGGCGUGAGACACUGCGCCCGGCCCAUACUACUACUUUUUGAGGAGGAAAGGAGGGAAUUUUCCAUGAGUUUGAAUCCUACAAAUGCCACAAACAGCUUCUGAAGCUGAAGCCAUGACAAUGAACUUCCAUGACACAAAGAAGAUGAGGAAUUGGAAGGGAACAGUGCAGGAGAAACACAGUGACAUUGUGUCACAGUAGGUAUUUAUGCCUGCUAUCCUCAUCCGAGAUAAGGUCAAUAACUUCUGCUGGUGAAGCCCAAGUCUGCUGGGGGCUCACAGCAGUUCCAUGACUGUGUCUGCCUGGUGCUAAGAUACUGUGUGCCCGAGCCAUGCUUCCACGAAGAAGCACUCCAAAUCACACCACCUCGAGGAUGAACACACCUUGCAUGUUCCUGAACUCCCACAAUCUCUACUUCACUAUCUGAAGAGGCAAUAUUAAUUUCUUCAUUGAGCGGUGCAUUGCCGGCAGAUAUUUUGUCACUUGCUAGGAAUCCUGGAUGCAAAUGACCUGCCUCUGCAUUCAGCUCCUCUAGAAGCCAGCUGGUCCUCCAGGUAGCUCCUGUGUCCUGGCCGCCUAUAGAAUUAUUGUGCUCUUGAACUACUGCAGCCGCCGAUAAAUUGUACACAGUUACCACUUCCGGGUCAGAGCUGGUGUCAGACAUAUCAUAAUGAGCUACAACUGGAGGUCCAUCUGGUAUCUCUGCAGUGAUUGUCUUGCUGCUCCCUGAAACCUCUUCAUCAUCAUCUGAUGAGGGACACACAUGACAUUUGGUGCCAAAACCUGGACAGGAAGACUCCUUCAGGAGACUGGUACCCUGUCCUCGUCAUCACUCCGUGAGGCAAUCCACCUAUGACCUUGGGUCCUCAGACCCACCAGCCCAAGGAACAUCUCACCAAUUUCAUAUCGGGCUUCCAAGGCGAUUGGGCAGUGUCAGUCUUCAGCUGCUAAGCCGAGAAGAUCUGGGAAGGAGUCACUCAGAGAGCCUUGGGCCAGAGUUCCAGGGGAUCUGGAAGCGGCUGCCAGAAUGAGAAGACUUCUCUCAAAAGAAAGUCUAGAAUUCUAUGGUUGUGAAAAGUUGUGACUGGA